rnacentral:rRNA from 1 species
GCAUAUCAAUAAGCGGAGGAAAAGAAACCAACAGGGAUUGCCCUAGUAACGGCGAGUGAAGCGGCAACAGCUCAAAUUUGAAAUCUGGCUCUCUUUGGGGGUCCGAGUUGUAAUUUGCAGAGGAUGCUUUGGCAUUGGCGGCGGUCUAAGUUCCUUGGAACAGGACAUCGCAGAGGGUGAGAAUCCCGUACGUGGGCGCCUGCCUUUGCCGUGUAAAGCUCCUUCGACGAGUCGAGUUGUUUGGGAAUGCAGCUCUAAUGGGAGGUAAAUUUCUUCUAAAGCUAAAUACCGGCCAGAGACCGAUAGCGCACAAGUAGAGUGAUCGAAAGAUGAAAAGUACUUUGGAAAGAGAGUCAAAAAGCACGUGAAAUUGUUGAAAGGGAAGCGCUUGCAGCCAGACUUGCCCGCAGUUGCUCACCUAGGCUUUGGCCUGGGGCACUCUUCUGCGGGCAGGCCAGCAUCAGUUUGGGCGGUCGGAUAAAGGCCUCUGUCACGUAUCUUCCUUCGGGAUGACCUUAUAGGGAGGCGUAUGCGACCAGCCCGGACUGAGGUCGCGCAUCUGCUAGGAUGCUGGCCGUAAAUGGCUGUAAAGGCGGCCCGUCUUGAAGACCACGGACCAAGUCACUAGGUUGGAAUUUCGGCGGGGCCGCCUGCGGUCCGACCCAUCAUGGGGAGAGGCUCCCGGCGAUUUGGAUUGCCUUGCUUGAGGUCGUCCUAUUGUGGUCACCCUUAAAUGGCUGGCGUAUCACU